AUUGAACGCUGGCGGCAUGCCUUACACAUGCAAGUCGAACGGUAACGGGCCUUCGGGUGCCGACGAGUGGCGAACGGGUGAGUAAUGCAUCGGAACGUACCUUUCAGUGGGGGGAUAACGUAGCGAAAGUUACGCUAAUACCGCAUAUUCUGUGAGCAGGAAAGCAGGGGAUCGCAAGACCUUGCGCUGAUUGAGCGGCCGAUGUCAGAUUAGCUAGUUGGUGAGGUAAAGGCUCACCAAGGCGACGAUCUGUAGCGGGUCUGAGAGGAUGAUCCGCCACACUGGAACUGAGACACGGUCCAGACUCCUACGGGAGGCAGCAGUGGGGAAUUUUGGACAAUGGGGGCAACCCUGAUCCAGCCAUGCCGCGUGAGUGAAGAAGGCCUUC
rnacentral:rRNA from 1 species